rnacentral:rRNA from 1 species
AUUGAACGCUGGCGGCAGGCCUUACACAUGCAAGUCGAACGAGUGGCGGACGGGUGAGUAAUGUCUGGGAAACUGCCCGGUGGCGGGGGAUAACUACUGGAAACGGUAGCUAAUACCGCAUACCAUCGGAUGUGCCCAGAUGGGAUUAGCUAGUUGGUGGGGUAAUGGCUCACCUAGGCGACGAUCCCUAGCUGGUCUGAGAGGAUGACCAGCCACACUGGAACUGAGACACGGCCCAGACUCCUACGGGAGGCAGCAGUGGGGAAUAUUGCACAAUGGGCGCAAGCCUGAUGCAGCCAUGCCGCGUGUAUGAAGAAGGCCUUCGGGUUGUAAAGUACUUUCAGCGGGGAGGCGUUACCCGCAGAAGAAGCACCGGCUAACUCCGUGCCAGCAGCCGCGGUAAUUC